rnacentral:rRNA from 1 species
GGAGUUAGCCGGUGCUUCUUCUGUGAGUGAUGUCCUUCCUGCCGGCUAUUAACCCGCAGGCCUUCUUCCUCACUGAAAGUGCUUUACAACCCGAAGGCCUUCUUCACACACGCGGCAUGGCUGGAUCAGGGUUGCCCCCAUUGUCCAAUAUUCCCCACUGCUGCCUCCCGUAGGAGUCUGGGCCGUGUCUCAGUCCCAGUGUGGCUGAUCAUCCUCUCAGACCAGCUACGGAUCGUCGCCUUGGUGAGCCGUUACCUCACCAACCAGCUAAUCCGACAUAGGCUCAUCCGAUAGCGCGAGGCCCGAAGGUCCCCCGCUUUCCCCCGUAGGGCGUAUGCGGUAUUAGCCUGGGUUUCCCCAGGUUAUCCCCCACUACCGGGCAGAUUCCUAUGCAUUACUCACCCGUCCGCCGCUCGCCACCAGGGAGCAAGCUCCCCGUGCUGCCGCUCGACUUGCAUGUGUUAGGCCUGCCGCCAGCGUUCAAUCUGAGCCAUANAUAACAACUCUACGACGUAGACGGCGGUCGUCGACGAACGGCGACAGUAG